rnacentral:lncRNA from 1 species
UUGCAGAAUAGAGAAUGAGUGAUUAGAACAUGGGAGAGCAGACACUGAGAGUUGGAGAGAGAGGAGCAAAGAUGUAUAUAAAGCUGGCAAUUGAUAGGGCAAUGGUGGAAGCAAAAGGCCUCAGAACAGCAUGAGGCAGUGACUCAAGGUGCUAUGAGGAGGAAGUGGAACGGGACUAGCGAAGGAUCAACAAACAGGAUCUGAGUCUUUGGUGACAGACUCCGAAUGGUUGAGGCUGAGUGCAGAGGAACAAUUGGCCUGGGCUAAAAAUACUCAAGACCCUCAGAUUGCAGUAGGGUCCUAUUCCCCAUUAGAAGAGAAGAUUCAGUUUGCUAAAGCAGAGGCAUACUACUAUCAAUAGCAUCAAGAAAUGAUGAUGGAAGAAGCAUGGAAAUACAAUAUGGUUCCAAAAUGGGAAACUAAAAUAGAGGAAGAGGAAAAGAGACCACAACGUGAGAAAACAGAAGAUACUAAAAAAUGGGACUAUCUAGUGCCUGAGGGGGAACUGAGUCUUAUAAAGAAACAUAUACCAGGCUGAACAAACCAGAGGCCUCAGAGACCACAAACACCGACUGCUCCCUCAAAGAAUUCCCAGUGAAAUACUUUCCCCUAAAAUACUAACACGGGAAAAGGAUGGAAAGCAUGAAAAUAUCCAGAAAACACACAAAACUGAAACCAGUAAGCACAAGGUGGCAUGGACAAAGGAACAGAUGAAGGGACACCAAGACCGAAUGAUCUGAGGGAGAGAACUCAAAGCAAAGACACGCUCAGAAGCGCUCCAGCCCCGUUCCAUCUUUCCUAAAAUCUCAAGUGGAAAAAGAGAAGGUGAAAGAGUUUGAAUGGGUCACAGCUUAUCCAAUUUUGCAACCUUACCAGAAAGCACUUAGGAAAGUGAUGAUUCUGAUGGAGAAAUAAGAAAAAAGAGAGUAAAAUUAAGAAACCACUCUGAAG